rnacentral:rRNA from 1 species
CCCUUAGAUGUUCUGGGCCGCACGCGCGCUACACUGACGAAUGCAACGAGCUUAUAACCUUGGCCGAAAGGUCUGGGUAAUCUCCAAAUUUCGUCGUGAUGGGGAUAGAUUAUUGCAAUUAUUAAUCUUCAACGAGGAAUGCCUAGUAAGCGCAAGUCAUCAGCUUGCGUUGAUUACGUCCCUGCCCUUUGUACACCCCGCCCGUCGCUCCUACCGAUUGAAUGGUCCGGUGAAGCGUUCGGACCGUGGCCUUUGGACGGUUCGCCGUCUGUUGGCUGCGGGAAGUUCGUUAAACCUUAUCAUUUAGAGGAAGGAGAAGUCGUANCA